AUGCGUCAGCGCAAGUGGCCACGGAACCCUGUGUGUUCCUUCUGCCAGCAGAUCGAAACUUCUCAGCAUCUGUUCUUUGAUUGCCCCGUUGCUAGGGUUGUGUGGCAAUCUAUUGGAGUGACCCUCGGGACUGACCUUUGUCCUAGAAACCAAUGGAAGUUCUUUGUGUGGUGUUACUCUUUUCUGCCCAGUUACGAUUCCUUCUAUACUGUGGCCUUGGGUGCUGUCACUUGGUCCAUCUGGUUGGCGCACAACAGUGCUACUUUUGAGAAGAGAAUGAUCAAAACCCCUUUUGAGAUUGUUUUUACGGUGGUUUCUUUUCUACUCUAUUGGGCAGGUCUUCAGGGCGAGGGCGACGCCAAGCUACUGCGUGCAGGGGCGGAGAUGAUUCGCAACGGGACUCUGAUGCUGAUGAGGACCUGUGAUGCGACUGUCAAGAUUGGAGAUUCAAGCUGA
rnacentral:rRNA from 1 species